UGGUUUUGUUAGAGUAGAGUAAGGUAAAAAUGGUUGAAAAAGAAAUGAAAAUGAAAUGACAGAAAAGAAGAAAAGAAAAUAAAAAUGGAGUAAAUUUGCUACUCUAGCAAAAUUUAGAGUAAAAACAAGUGUGUAUUUUUCUCUGUCAAAACAGUAAUUAAAAACGAUAAAACAAUGUUUCACUUGAUGUGUAGUAUUUUAGUGAAAUUUAGAAUAACUUAAAAAUUAAAGUAAAUGUUUAUUCUAAAUUAUCCAUACAGUCACAACCUCGCUGUUUCCUACGAAAAGUCAGAUCUACAUAUAUUCACACACAUUUGAAUAUAUGUAGUGAAUUAGGGACCCG
rnacentral:lncRNA from 1 species